UACGUAGGGGCCUAGCGCUGUCCGGAUUUAUUGGGCGUAAAGAGCUCGUAGGCGGCCUGUUGCGUCCGCUGUGAAAUCCCGGGGCUUAACCCCGGGCGUGCAGUGGAUACGGGCAGGCUGGAGGCGGGCAGGGGAGAACGGAAUUCCCGGUGUAGCGGUGAAAUGCGCAGAUAUCAGGAGGAACACCGGUGGCGAAGGCGGGUCUCUGGGCAACAACUGACGCUGAGGAGCGAAAGCGUGGGGAGCGAACAGG
rnacentral:rRNA from 1 species